GACGAACCGAGCGAACGUUGUUCGGAAUCACUGGGCUUAAAGGGCGCGUAGGCGGGUGCUCAAGUCCGGGGUGAAAUCCUCCAGCUCAACUGGAGAACUGCCUCGGAUACUGGGUGUCUCGAGGGUGGUAGGGGUAUGCGGAACUAUCGGUGGAGCGGUGAAAUGCGUUGAUAUCGAUAGGAACUCCGGUGGCGAAGGCGGCAUACUGGACCACAUCUGACGCUGAGGCGCGAAAGCCAGGGGAGCAAACGGG
rnacentral:rRNA from 1 species